rnacentral:tRNA from 1 species
UUCACGGUAGCUCAAUGGCAGAGCGGGCGGUUGUUAACCGCCGUGUUGGGGGUUCGAGUCCCUCCCGUGAAG